rnacentral:rRNA from 1 species
CGGUGGAGCAUGUGGGUUUAAUUCGAAGCAACGCGCAGAACCUUACCAGCGUUUGACAUGGUAGGACGACUGGCAGAGAUGCCUUUCUUCCCUUCGGGGACCGUACACACAGGUGCUGCAUGGCUGUCGUCAGCUCGUGUCGUGAGAUGUUGGGUUAAGUCCCGCAACGAGCGCAACCCUCGACUUUAGUUACCAUCAUUAAGUUGGGUACUUUAAAGUAACCGCCGGUGAUAAGCCGGAGGAAGGUGGGGAUGACGUCAAGUCCUCAUGGCCCUUACGCGCUGGGCUACACACGUGCUACAAUGGCAAGUACAGUGGGCAGCAAUCCCGCGAGGGUGAGCUAAUCUCCAAAACUUGUCUCAGUUCGGAUUGUUCUCUGCAACUCGAGAGCAUGAAGGCGGAAUCGCUAGUAAUCGCGGAUCAGCAUGCCGCGGUGAAUACGUUCCCAGGCCUU